CAGCCGUAAACUAUGCGCGUUAGGUGUAUCGGUGACCACGAGUCACCGAGGUGCCGAAGGGAAACCGUGAAACGUGCCGCCUGGGAAGUACGGUCGCAAGGCUGAAACUUAAAGGAAUUGGCGGGGGAGCACCACAACAGGUGGAGCCUGCGGUUUAAUUGGAUUCAACGCCGGACAUCUCACCGGAUAAGACAGCUGAAUGAUUGCCGGGCUGAAGACUCUGCAUGACUAGCUGAGAGGAGGUGCAUGGCGUAGACGUCU
rnacentral:rRNA from 1 species